UAGUAGUGCGAAUUUGGAAAUUGCGUAAAUUAUACAACUGUUAAAAGAAAAACUUCAGCCAAUUAAAAGAGUUUAUUUGAGAAAUGAACCAUUCACAAAUUGGGCAGUCCCCAGAAUCACAGCAGGCUCAGAGAGACUCCAGGGUUUCCUUGUGGUCAGAAAAAAAUUAUAGUCAAAAAAAGGGAAAUGACAUACAAAAAUCAGCAGUGAGGUACAGAACAGCUGGAUUGGUUACAGGUUGGUGUUUGCCUUAUUUGAACACCGUUUGAACACUCAGCAGUGCAUGAAUGGUUGAAGAAUGGCUGCUGGGAUUGGCCAGGUCUCAGCUAUUGUUACAGGCGCAUAUUCUUAUGUUCGGUUCUCAAUCUUGUCUACCUAUUAAGUUAGGUUACAGUUCAUCCACAAGGACUCAAAUAUAGAAGUACGGAGUCCUUCUCAGGCCAUAUUUAAUUAACCUUAACUAUUCUCCCCUUUUAGUCAUUUUCUCAAUUUUCAGAGAUUGACCAAAAUUUUAGUCAUUGAUGUCAUUAUCACCAAGGUAAAUGUACUAUUCAGCCUUGAAGCCCACUGGGGAACAGUAGAACAGUGAGUUUUGCGAAGGUAGGAACAAGGACUGAGUAGAGGGUAGCUCCUUAUGCUGGAACAUCCAUCAUUUUGGGUUUCUCGCCUCAGCACGUCAUUCAUAGGUUAUGGUGUCCCCAUGGUUGCAGAUUCCUUUCAGUUCUUGUCAUUCCAGUUGAAGACAGACCAUUUGACAUUCUAGAGAUGCCUAGGGAUGGGUCUCAGGCCGAAGACUGCUCUCUACUAUCCUAGAUGCAGGAGAAAACUUAAACUUGUCUUCCCUGUUGGAAGAGAGCUCAAACUCCAUAAAGGAGUCCAGAAGGAGCUUUCCUUCAACAUCAAAGCAGGAAAACUUGCCUUCCUUGUGUUAGAAGCAAGUAAAACUCAGAGAAGAGGAAGUUGUACAGCAAAAUAAACUUUAGAUCUUGACCAAAUUUUGGGAGAUCAGGAAUUCUCUGGAGGGGGUACUUCCAGGCCUCAGCAAAUUGUCCUACUCAUUCGAACCAUAAAGAUAACUCAAAUUGGUACCAAGAACCGAUGGGAGAUUUGUCAAAGGUCAGGGGCACCUCCACUCAGAAUCCCUCAGUGGUUACCAAAAUGUGAACCCCAAAUAUCUGAGACAGAUCUCAGUUAAUUUAGAGAGUUUAUUUUGCCAAGGUUGAGGAUGCGCACCUGUGACACAGCCUCAGGAGGUCUUGACAACAUGUGUCCAAGGUGGUUGGGGUACAGCUUGGUUUUAUACAUUUUAGGGAGACAUGAGACAUCAAUCAAUAUAUGUAAGAAGUUGAUUGCUUCCAUCUGGAAAGGAAGGACAACUGGAAGCAUGGAAGAGGCUUCCAGGUUA
rnacentral:lncRNA from 1 species